rnacentral:rRNA from 1 species
AUUGAACGCUGGCGGCAUGCCUUACACAUGCAAGUCGAACGGCAGCACGGGAGCAAUCCUUGUGGCGAGUGGCGAACGGGUGAGUAAUAUAUCGGAACGUGCCCAGUCGAGGGGGAUAACGCCGCGAAAGCUGUGCUCAUACCACAUACGAUCUACGGAUGAAAGCGGGGGAUCGCAAGAUCCCGCGCGAUUGGAGCGGCCGAUAUCGGAUUAGGUAGUUGGUGGGGUAAAGGCUCACCAAGCCGACGACCUGUAGCUGGUCUGAGAGGACGACCAGCCACACUGGGACUGAGACACGGCCCAGACUCCUACGGGAGGCAGCAGUGGGGAAUUUUGGACAAUGGGGGAAACCCUGAUCCAGCCAUCCCGCGUGUGCGAUGAAGGCCUUCGGGUUGUAAUGCACUUUUGGCAGGAAAGAAACGGCGCGUGCUAAUACCAUGCGCAACUGACGGUACCUACAGAAGAAGCACCGGCUAACUACGUGCCAGCCGCCGCAGUAA